GGCAGAAGCAGGGAGUCAUGGAAGAAGGGUUGCUUAUCCAAUGGCUAGAGCAGGCCACAGAGUUUGCUGUUCACUCCAGACCUGCUUCCCGCUCUGACAAUCUCUCGGGGGUAAUGGUGUGCCAGCUCGAAGUAUUUGCAUUCUGUUACUUUAUGAUCCAGGGUGGCCCUCAGAAUUUGGCUGGAGAAGGGGAAGAAAAAGAGAGGCUCGGGGACCAGUUCUACAAGGAAGCCAUCGAGCACUGCCGGAGCUAUAACUCGAGGCUGUGUGCAGAGCGCAGCGUGCGUCUCCCUUUCCUGGACUCGCAGACCGGGGUGGCCCAGAACAACUGCUACAUCUGGAUGGAGAAGAGGCACCGCGGCCCAGGCCUCGCCCCAGGCCAGCUCUACACAUACCCUGCUCGCUGCUGGCGUAAGAAGAGACGAUUGCACCCACCUGAGGAUCCAAAGCUUCGGCUGCUGGAAAUAAAACCUGAAGUGGAGCUGCCCCUGAAAAAGGAUGGCUUCACCUCAGAAAGUACCACACUGGAGGCCUUGCUCCGCGGUGAGGGUGUUGAGAAGAAGGUGGAUGCCAGAGAGGAGGAAAGCGUCCAGGAGAUACAGAGGGUUCUGGAAAAUGACGAAAAUGCAGAAGAAGGAAAUGAAGAAGAAGAUUUAGAAGAGGAUAUUCCCAAGCGAAAGAAUAGGACCAGAGGACGGGCCCGUGGCUCUGCAGGUGGCAGGAGGAGGCACGACGCCGCCUCUCAGGAAGACCAUGACAAACCUUACGUCUGUGACAUCUGUGGCAAGCGCUACAAGAACCGGCCAGGACUCAGCUACCACUACGCUCACACUCACCUGGCCAGUGAGGAGGGGGAUGAGGCUCAAGACCAGGAGACCCGGUCCCCACCUAACCACAGAAACGAGAACCACAGACCCCAGAAAGGACCGGAUGGGACAGUCAUUCCCAACAACUACUGUGACUUCUGCUUGGGGGGCUCUAACAUGAACAAGAAGAGCGGACGGCCUGAGGAGCUGGUGUCCUGUGCAGACUGUGGACGCUCUGCUCAUUUGGGAGGAGAAGGCAGGAAGGAGGAGGCAGCGGCCGCAGCACGCACCACGGAGGACUUAUUCGGUUCCACAUCAGAAAGUGACACGUCAACUUUCCACGGCUUUGAUGAGGACGAUUUGGAAGAGCCUCGCUCCUGCCGAGGACGCCGCAGUGGCCGGGGUUCGCCCACAGCAGAUAAAAAGGGCAGUUGCUAAACCCACGGAACAGACUCUCUGGGCGAAUAGCCGCCACCCUCUGACUUUGGUCGUUAUUCUGGGUCUGAUAUAUAUUUUUUUUAAAUGAAAGUCAACUUUAGGUUUUCCCUUCGUCUUUGCUUUUUCCUGUCUCCUUCCUCGCAUCCUUCCCCCCUUCCCCCCUGUUUUGGGUAUGUACAACAGAAGCACAAACUACUGAAACAAAGCAGAACAAAAGAGCAGGAUAACAGUCCUUCAGAGAGAUGGCAUCAUGAAGUACUGUUUAUUUGCCAUAGAAAUGGGAAGUUAGGCGGACUGCCUCUCUUUGGGGGAGGGAGGGCAUCUUUUUGACCCGAGCAGAGUCGAUUUCCUCAGUUUUCCUAUUUAUUGGCAAAAUGAAGAGAGGAGGAACAUUGGGUUUGGAAACAAAGAACGAAUAACGUUAAAAAUUAUUAUUUAUGUAUUCUAGCUAUUAUUAGAUAUGGACUUUUUUUUGAGAGAGAGAAGGGAAAUCAAAGCAAUUGAAGUGAUAUCCUGCUUGGGAGAGAGCCGCUGGGGGAGGGGUUGACUCAAGGACACCUAGUCAGGAGGAUUUCCUCGCCUGGAGAUGAUGGCACUUUCUGUACCCCACGAAGUGUGUGGCUCCCUACGGCAGACCCCCUCCCCAUUUCUGCUCCCUGACCUUUCCGUCUUCCUCCCUGCUUGCAAGAAAAUGUCAGCAGCUCCUGGGAAGUCUGGGCCUCUGCCUGUGGCCUCCCUCCAGCACCUCCUGGGCUCCUCCCCUCCGCCAGCAUAGCCGCUGUGGUGUUGUUGCUGGGUUUCUCCUCACUUUCCUCCUGGCGAAGAGCAAUUUCCAAAUGCAGGAAUGGAAUCUGAACAGCAAGUCAUGGACUCAGCAGUGACAAAGCAACCUGAGGCCACGCUCAUGGAAGAAAGAAUGAUACCUCACAGUAUAUCUCCCUCUCCCCUUGGCCCCUGUUUACAAACAUAAAUUCCCGUUGGAUGAUCAAGUCUCCCGUGUCUCUUCUUCUAUUUUUUUAUAGUGCCCUCCAGGCACUUUGUUUUAUGUUUCCAAUAGCACCUCCUGAAAUAAACCAAAGCAACACUUGCCCAAGGUCCCUGGGGCGAUGGAGAAGACCAUCCACGUUGUCGGCAGUCCCAAGAACCAACAGCUGUGCAGUCGUAGUCAAAAGUCAACUCUAUGACCUGGACACCCUGGCCCCCUUCAAGCAAGCCAUUUCUGAAGAAGGUGAAAAGAAGCCACGUUGAUUUGCGCCUCCUCCUCCUUGUCUUCCUCCUCCUCUUCCUCUUCCCUUGCCCGGCCCCCUCCUGCGCGUGUGUUUCAGCCAACACAGGAGCCUGGAUUGUGGAAAAGCCUCCAGCGCAACUCCGCUCAGCUCAGCUCAGAGAAGUCUCGGGAAUGGCCUAAUAAGUUUGUGCAAUAAGAAGAUUUUUUUUCCUUUUUAAAAUUCUUCAUUACGUUUUCUUUAAGUGUCUGUGAGAACGUACCCAGGUCAGACUGGAAUUGCUCUACAGUAGAAAUAACUGAAUACGAACAAAGUGACGGAAAAAAAGAGAGUUAACUAUUUUAUUUAUUUCAAUAUUUAAAAGAAAAAAAGUGGUGACGUGGCACAGUAUUUUUGUUUAAAGUACCUCCUACUUCGAAAGUUAAAAGCAAUUUUGUGAAGACACGAAAUCAAAAGAGUUACUUAAUGUAAAAUAAAGACUGCAUAUUAACUCUAAGGAAAAAGACCCCACAUUUUUAAUGAGAAAAUAAAGAUCAACUCUGCUCUCUCAGGCUUUUAAAAAAGCCAUUCAUGUAUGUGCUUUAGGUAUUUUUAUUUCUGCGAGUUGGAUGUGGUAAGUGAGGAGUGAUUGGUUUUUUUUUUUUCCUUCCUUCAAAAUUCUGUUGGAAGCGUUGGUGAUGUUACAUGGUUAUGUGUUAAGACGUGACGGAAAUAAAUUAGCCACAAAGGCUCUCCCCACUCCCCAAAAGACUCCCUCCCCCCUCCCCGUAGGCAAACCCCAUUCAUCUGGAUGUCAAGAAACAGCUCGACUUCUGGUUGUCAUGUCUGACGAGGCCUAGUUCAGAAAGGAAUUCCAUCUAGUGAUUAACUGUAUCUUUACGAGUUCAACAUUUUCAAACACAGACAGCUUUGUUUAAAAUAACGCAGCGAAGAAUGAGGGGAAAAAAAAAAGACAACAAAUAAGCAUCAGCUGAGAUGAUACUAAUUUGGUCACCUAACAACUUCCAGAGGAGACUGGAAAAGGGAGACUUCUACUGAUCAGGCUUUGGGGUGGCCUAAGGUUCUAGAGUGUCCCCAAGGGCAAGGAAGGCCAACCUGAAUGAUGGGAACCUCAAAUUCAGUUGCUGGUGGGGUAAAGGAGAAAGACACGCGUUCUAACAUGUCCUUUUAUGGCCGUGUGGGUAGAAGUGAACAUACUGGCCUACGUAAUUCAACACUGGAUCUGUGGCCUGGCGAGGGAGCUGUGUUGACCGGCAGAGCCACUCGGUUCUAUUCCAGGUCUUCUACAUGUCCAUGCUCUUGAGUUUCCCUCACUCGUAAGCAGAGUCCCAAUAACGAAUUCAUAGUCUAACGCUGGAUGUUCUCCUCGGCAAGAGUCCUUGAGUGCCAGUGUUACUGAAAUGGUUCUGAGCCUGAGAAUCUCUCUGCCUUUGAAAGGGGAGACUGGAUGGGCACAGCCCUCCUGCCAGCCCUUUCAGCUUUCUCAUUCGAGGCCAGUCCUGGGGUGGAAGGCGGGAGAUCACCAAGAGUGUCUUUGUACCAUUUUGUAGCCCUUUUCUGUGACUUUUUCCAAUAGAAAAGGUCCCUUUUCAAAAUGCUAAUAAUUAUAAUAAUAACAGCCCACUCUCCAACCAACUCCCACAAGUUACAAUGUGUAGAAUUGUGAUAAAGCUUUGCAUAAUGUAGGGUUUGUAUCAAAUUUGUGUAAGUUUCUGUUAAAUAAACGUCUGUUUCCAAUGCUCCCAUA